rnacentral:tRNA from 1 species
AAAGAAUUAGUUAAUAAAUACUUAUAACAUUAAAUUGUCAAUUUAAAAUAAUUACAAUAAAAAUAUUCUUUU